UCUCCUGGCCCCACUCACACCUCAUCAGCCACUCUUCUCCAGCAGUCUCUGCCCUGAGCUUUGCUUCCACAGAUGAAUCUGAAUGAAGCAUGGGGAGAAAAUACCACAUGCACAAAAUGGUAACAGCAUAGAAAUAACUAGCUGGGGAAGAUAUGAUUCAGACCUGUGAGAAGUAAACUCAGGAAUUUAAAGGUAAUUUCCCGGGCUGGGAGAGAACAAGGCAAGGCAGGACGGGAUACGUCUGGACUCUCCCUUCUUUCAGAGGAGAUGGGUGUUCUUUUCUGGUUGGGAAAAACAUGCUGGAAGGAGCAGUGAGGUGGCACCAUCUGCGGUUACAUUGCAUUGUGAAAGACUUGGUGAGCAUUUUGCUCAUAAAUCUCUCUCUUUUGCACAUUUCUGUUAUUAAUAUUGUUUCUGUUACUACUCCUUUUUCUUAUCUCAAUGCUGUUCCAAGUGAAUUAUUUU